rnacentral:rRNA from 1 species
AUUGAACGCUGGCGGCAGGCCUAACACAUGCAAGUCGAACGAGUGGCGGACGGGUGAGUAAUGUCUGGGAAACUGCCUGAUGGAGGGGGAUAACUACUGGAAACGGUAGCUAAUACCGCAUACCAUCAGAUGUGCCCAGAUGGGAUUAGCUAGUUGGUGGGGUAACGGCUCACCAAGGCGACGAUCCCUAGCUGGUCUGAGAGGAUGACCAGCCACACUGGAACUGGGACACGGUCCAGACUCCAACGGGAGGCAGAGGUGGGGAAUUUUGCCAAAGGGGCGCAAGCCUGAUGCAGCCAUGCCGGGUGGAUGAAGAGGGCCUUGGGGUUGUAAAGUACUUUCAGCGGGGAGGCGUUACCCGCAGAAGAAGCAACGGCUAACUCCGUGCCAGCAGCCGCGGUAAUUC